rnacentral:rRNA from 1 species
UACAGAGGUCCCAAGCGUUGUUCGGAUUCACUGGGCGUAAAGGGUGCGUAGGUGGUGAGGUAAGUCGGAUGUGAAAGCUCCGAGCUCAACUCGGAAAUGGCAUUGGAAACUACCUUGCUAGAGGGUUUGAGGGGGGACUGGAAUACUUGGUGUAGCAGUGAAAUGCGUAGAUAUCAAGUGGAACACCAGUGGCGAAGGCGAGUCCCUGGACAAGACCUGACACUGAGGCACGAAAAGCCAGGGGGAGCAAAACAGG